rnacentral:lncRNA from 10 species
CUUUGUCGCCCCUUUUCCUUGGUCGCGAGGGCCGUUCAUUUGCAUGUCCCACCCGCUCUGCGCCCGGGAGGCGUGGCCACCAAGGGGCCGGGCCCUGCACAGCGCCCUGGGGAAGCUGGUUUGAAAGCUCUGGAGCGACCCCAAUGCCGGGUAAAGGACAAGAUUUGCCCAGACGGAAGGGAAUUUGGGGUGAAGUGGCCGUAAAAGUGUGGGACGAAACUGUUUCGGGCAGAGCGGUGGGAACUCACCUGAGGAAAGCAUGGGGGAGGAGUCACUAAUAAGAAUGAGUGGCAGGGACAGGGCGGCCUUGUAACGCCCUCGGUGUUGGAAGGGAAGACCGUACAGCGCGAUGGGGACCAGGGCGGCGGGCCGCAGCCAGGGUGUGGGUGGGCGACGGUCAAGGUGCCUUGAAGCGGAUUCUGUCCUCGGGAGCUGCGGUUCUUCCUCCUCCGCCCUCACCGGCGGGCGACCUUAGGCAGGGCGUGAAAUGCAACGGGAGCCCUGGAGGGAGGGUGAAGCCGCGCGUGCAGGAGGAACCUCCUUUUGGCGAGUUCAGGCCCCGCAGCUGCGGAGAUAUUUACGUAAUUUCGAAGCAGCUCUUCACAAAAUAUUCAUCAGUUACAGAAGGAAGUCACUUCACAGUGGAAAAAUCUGGCAGGUGCCACCUUAAUCAAGUAACCAAAAUGAACAUCAUCAGUAAUAGGACAAAUUGCAAUCGUGUGCCUCCUGAUAGUCUAGCAAGAAGAACACAGCAUCACUUCUAUGAUGCUCCUGCCAAUAAUAUAUAAUUGGAAUCUAAUCCUAAAGCAACAAAUUCAAAUUAAGGAAAAUUCUACAAAAUAAUUGGCCUGUAAUAGAAGUGUUAAAGGUCAUGAAAGUUAAGGAAAGACUGAAGAACUGUUCCAGACUGAAGAUGAAAGAGAUGUGAGAAAUAAGUGCAGUGGUGAUUCUGAACUGGAUCCUGACUUGGCAAAACUUGAAUAGGUCUGUUGGUUGGAUGGUAGAAAUAUAGUAAUGUUGAUUUCCUGAUUUUUGCUAGCUAUAUUACAAUUUUAUUGGAUUCAGUCCUUGUUUACAGAAGACACACAGUAUGUAGGGGUUAUAAGAAGUCAGCUCAGGAACUUUCAAAUCAUUUAGCAAAACAAAAGUUCUUCGUACUUUAAUUCCAAGACUUCUAUAAAUUUGAGAUUAUUUUUAAAAUACUUAAAAAAAACUCCUUUAAAGUCUCUCAACAUGCUGUCCUAUUAAUAAUAGAUUUCUAAAUUUUUUAUUUUUAUCAACGUUUUGUGUGCCCAUAGUUUGAAGUAUUAAAUUGUUUUUAUUUAUUAAGG